rnacentral:rRNA from 1 species
AUGGCUCAGGAUGAACGCUGGCGGCGUGCCUAAUACAUGCAAGUCGAACGAGGUAGCAAUACCGAGUGGCGAACGGGUGAGUAACACGUAGGUAACCUGCCUUACAGUUUGGGAUACCCUGGCGAAAGCUAGGCUAAUACCGAAUAAUUGGAUUGGAGGCAUCUCCGAUCUCUAAAAGGGGCCCUUAAAGCCUCGCUGAAUGAUGGACCUGCGGCGCAUUAGCUAGUUGGUGAGAUAAUAGCCCACCAAGGCGAGGAUGCGUAGCCGACCUGAGAGGGUGAACGGCCACACUGGAACUGAGACACGGUCCAGACUCCUACGGGAGGCAGCAGUAGGGAGUUUUCGGCAAUGGGGGCAACCCUGACCGAGCAACGCCGCGUGAAUGAUGAAGGUCUUCGGAUUGUAAAGUUCUGUUAUAAGGGAAAAAUGAUAGGGUGAGGAAAUGCUCUCUAUUUGAUGGUACCUUAUUAGAAAGCCACGGCUAACUACGUGCCAGCAGCGGC